rnacentral:rRNA from 1 species
UACAGGGGGGGCAAGCGUUGUUCGGAUUUACUGGGCGUAAAGGGCGCGUAGGCGGUCAGCACAAGUCAGUUGUGAAAUCUCCGGGCUUAACUCGGAAAGGUCAACUGAUACUGUGCGACUAGAGUGCAGAAGGGGCAACUGGAAUUCUCGGUGUAGCGGUGAAAUGCGUAGAUAUCGAGAGGAACACCUGCGGCGAAGGCGGGUUGCUGGGCUGACACUGACGCUGAGGCGCGAAAGCCAGGGGAGCGAACGGG